GAGUUUGAUCCUGGCUCAGGGUGGUAGGAACAUUGAGGCUGGGCCGCCUGAGGCUUUGGCAUGAGGCUGGGGGGCUGAGGAGAGAUGUGAAACAGUUACACCGGGGGUGAAGGUGUCAGAGAGGCCUCUCAGUUUCAGCUUGAGUCGGCAGGCAGGCCAUGGUGGUGGCUGGUGGGGAAGUCACCACUGCCCCAGGCCAGAGAGGAUUGCCUCUGAGCCAGGGAUGUCCAGGGGCUGCCUCUGAGAGAGGUACAGGUGGGAGUGGACACGGGCAGGUCAACCACUGUCCCUGCCCCAUGACCCCGACACAGGUCAGAUGACCCAGAUGUGGGGGGCCAGGGCAGGAGCAGUUGAGGGGCCAGGCUAUCAGCUGAGUCGAAAGUUGGGGACCCCCAGGG
rnacentral:rRNA from 1 species